AUUGAACGCUGGCGGCAGGCCUAACACAUGCAAGUCGAGCGGAUGACGGGAGCUUGCUCCUUGAUUCAGCGGCGGACGGGUGAGUAAUGCCUAGGAAUCUGCCUGGUAGUGGGGGACAACGUUUCGAAAGGAACGCUAAUACCGCAUACGUCCUACGGGAGAAAGCAGGGGACCUUCGGGCCUUGCGCUAUCAGAUGAGCCUAGGUCGGAUUAGCUAGUUGGUGGGGCAAUGGCUCAACAAGGCGACGAUCCGUAACGGGUCUGAGAGGAUGAUAGGUCACAAUGGAACUGAGCCACGGUCCAGACUCCUACGGGAGGCAGCAGUGGGAAAUAUGGGACAAUGGGCGACAGCCUGAUCCAGCCAUGCCGCGUGUGUGAAGAAGGUCUUCGGAUUGUAAAGCACUUUAAGUUGGGAGGAAGGGCAGUAAGCUAAUACCUUGCUGUUUUGACGUUACCGACAGAAUAAGCACCGGCUAACUCUGUGCCAGCCGCCGCCGUAA
rnacentral:rRNA from 1 species